ensembl:lncRNA
CACGCUGUAGAAAACCAUGGCCCACAGCAAGGAUUCACCAUGGACUUUAGAGUUCCCUCAGGAUCUUCUUCCGUCUGCGGAGCGAACGGCUCUUCUCUAUCAUCUGUGUUACCUGCUUCUGGGAAGAUUCCUCGAUUUGCAGAGUCUGAUCAGAGAACAAGCUCUUGAAACACAACGGGUGUUUAGAUGCUCUGAGGCUGUUAUUAUAAAGUGUGUCGGCACGAGUUCCAACUUGGACUCCUCUCUGUUCCCAAUACUGACGAAAGUCGUUGAAAAGAACAAACACCUUUUGGCUUUGUCAUACAUGGGGAAAGUCAGAACAUGGAUUGAUGACAUCAUUAAACCUGUUGAUUCCAUGGUGAAGAGGUAUGAACAACACAUCCAAAGUGUGGAGAAGUGUGCUGUUGAUGUGAUUCAAAUACAGAAAAAACUGGAAGAACCAUUUGAACCUUUAAAGAAGAUCAAGAGUCUGGAGGAGGAAAUAGCCCAGCUGGAAGAGAGGAUGAGAGCAGAAAAUGUUAGUUGGAUGAACAAAAACCAUCUGACUGAACUUCAGAAGCAGUUGGGCCGUUACAGAAUGAAGCAUGGUCUGAUUGUCUACCUGGAGGAGGUUCAGAAGUGUCUUUCUCGAAUCAAGCAGAUUCUGUUUCAGCUUCAGAAGUUCUGGGAGAGAGUGGGAUCUCUGCUGGACACACUGAAAGACAGGACCCUUGUUGGGGACAAUCUCACUGAGGACCUGGAUGACAUGAAGGAGGAGUUUCUGACCUCCACUGAAGCAGCAAGAGAGUACUGGAAGACAUUCGGUGUAUCCUGUCGACGUGCACAAGGUGUUUUCAGCGUUCAGUCUGAAAAUGCAUAUAAGUUCCUGGAUAUCAAUCGGUCUUCCCUCUCAGAGGAUGAACAGAUGGAGCAGUACAAGUCUGUCAUGGAGAAGCUGAAGCAGAUCAGCCCGCAGUAUUCAUCCACUGAGUGAAACACAGAGAUCUGACGCUUCCUCUCACACAUUUAAACGCUCCUUAUAACGCAUGCGCAUUUUAAUGCAUACAGCUUCUCUUGUCAUUUUUGUAAUGCAUCUUUACAACUCCUCUUAUCCAAGUUCAUUUACAAUUCUACAUAAAUAUUCUUUAGUUAGCUGGUGUUAUGGAUACUAUUAUUUCUAUUUCUGAAUUGUGCUGUAUCUCUGGUUAAAAUUGCUUUGCAUUUCAUUAUAGUAUAUCAUAUAAUCAUGUAGUCUGGUCACAUGACUAAUGUCAAUGUCACACAAUAAAGACAGAAUGGGUCACCA